UACCAGCUCUCCGAGUGGUAGGGAUGAUUAUUGGGCUUAAAGCGUCCGUAGCCGGCUUGGCAAGUUUCCUGUUAAACUCUGCGACUUAAUCGUUGAAUCGCGGGAAAUACUACUAGGCUAGGAGGCGGGAGAGGUCAACGGUACUUCUGGGGUAGGGGUGAAAUCCUAUAAUCCCGGGAGGACCACCAGUGGCGAAGGCUGUUGACUAGAACGCGCUCGACGGUGAGGGACGAAAGCUGGGGGAGCGAACCGGAUUAGAUACCCGGGUAGUCCCAGCUGUAAACGAUGCGGGCUAGGUGUUGGGAUGGCUACGUGCCAUUUCAGUGCCGCAGGGAAGCCAUUAAGCCCGCCGCCUGGGGAGUACGGCCGCAAGGCUGAAACUUAAAGGAAUUGGCGGGGAGCACCACAAGGCGUGAAGCUUGCGGUUC
rnacentral:rRNA from 1 species